GAUGAACGCUAGCUACAGGCUUAACACAUGCAAGUCGAGGGGCAGCAUGGUCUUAGCUUGCUAAGGCCGAUGGCGACCGGCGCACGGGUGAGUAACACGUAUCCAACCUGCCGUCUACUCUUGGACAGCCUUCUGAAAGGAAGAUUAAUACAAGAUGGCAUCAUGAGUCCGCAUGUUCACAUGAUUAAAGGUAUUCCGGUAGACGAUGGGGAUGCGUUCCAUUAGAUAGUAGGCGGGGUAACGGCCCACCUAGUCUUCGAUGGAUAGGGGUUCUGAGAGGAAGGUCCCCCACAGUGGAACUGAGACACGGUCCAAACUCCUACGGGAGGCAGCAGUGAGGAAUAUUGGUCAAUGGGCGCAGGCCUGAACCAGCCAAGUAGCGUGAAGGAUGACUGCCCUAGGGGUUGUAAACUUCUUUUAUAAAGGAAUAAAGUCGGGUAUGGAUACCCGUUUGCAUGUACUUUAUGAAUAAGGAUCGGCUAACUCCGUG
rnacentral:rRNA from 1 species